rnacentral:rRNA from 1 species
UUGGAGGGCAAGUCUGGUGCCAGCAGCCGCGGUAAUUCCAGCUCCAAUAGCGUAUAUUAAAGUUGUUGCAGUUAAAAAGCUCGUAGUUGAAUUUCGGGAUCAAUUUAUUGGUCGUGCUAUUGUACGUACUGGUAUUAUUGAUUUCUACCUUCUGACGAACCAUGAUGUCAUUAAUUUGGUGUCAUGGGGAAUCAGGACUGUUACUUUGAAAAAAUUAGAGUGUUUAAAGCAGGCUCACGCUUGAAUACAUUAGCAUGGAAUAACGAAAUAGGACGUUUGAUUCUAUUUUGUUGGUUUCUAGGAUCGACGUAAUGAUUAAUAGGGAUAGUUGGGGGCAUUAGUAUUCAAUUGUCAGAGGUGAAAUUCUUGGAUUUAUUGAAGACUAACUACUGCGAAAGCAUUUGCCAAGGAUGUUUUCAUUAAUCAAGAACGAAAGUUAGGGGAUCGAAGACGAUCAGAUACCGUCGUAGUCUUAAUCAUAAACUAUGCCGACUAGGGAUCGGAUGAUGUUAAUUUUUUAAUGACUCAUUCGGCGCCUUACGGGAAACCAAAGUGUUUGGGUUC